rnacentral:rRNA from 1 species
CCUACGGGUGGCAGCAGUGGGGAAUAUUGCGCAAUGGGCGAAAGCCUGACGCAGCGACGCCGCGUGAGGGAUGAAGGUCUUCGGAUCGUAAACCUCUGUCAGCAGGGAAGAACGGUCACUGUGCUAAUCCGCAGUGAAUUGACGUUACCUGCAAAGGAAGCACCGGCUAACUCCGUGCCCGCAGCCGCGGUAAUACGGAGGGUGCGAGCGUUAAUCGGAAUUACUGGGCGUAAAGCGCUCGUAGGCGGUAUGUCAAGUCAAGGGUGAAAUCCCCGCGCUCAACGUGGGAACUGCCUUUGAAACUGGCAGACUGGAGUGUGUGAGAGGAUAGUGGAAUUCGAGGUGUAGGAGUGAAAUCCGUAGAUAUCUGGAGGAACAUCAGUGGCGAAGGCGACUAUCUGGCACAUAACUGACGCUGAGGAGCGAAAGCGUGGGUAGCAAACAGGAUUAGAUACCCGAGUAGUC